rnacentral:lncRNA from 1 species
GGGGCUGUUGACUUGGGAGGACGGCACAUGACAGGACUGCGGAAUGAGAUAACUAGGUUAGAAGCCCUAUUAAGUUUCGAUAAUGCGCUGAAACUUUGUGAGUCGGAUAAACGAGGGGCCGUAUCGUCGCGAUCAUGGUUGUUGCUGCGGGUCGAUUGUUGAAUCGCUAUCGAAUAACCUUGAUCGAUAUGUAGCAUUGUUAAGAUAGGGAGUUAUCGAUCGAUUUCAUACGAUAACGAUUCAACAAUCGACCCGCUGCGGGUCGAUUGUUGAAUCGCUAUCGAAUAACCUUGAUCGAUAUGUAGCAUUGUUAAGAUAGGGAGUUAUCGAUCGAUUUCAUACGAUAACGAUUCAACAAUCGACCCGCUGCGGGUCGAUUGUUGAAUCGCUAUCGAAUAACCUUGAUCGAUAUGUAGCAUUGUUAAGAUAGGGAGUUAUCGAUCGAUUUCAUACGAUAACGAUUCAACAAUCGACCCGCUGCGCACCGAACUUGGCCGUGUAUUUAUUUUCCAUUUUUCCUGUAGUCUAUUCUUGGUGAACGUUUCCAUUUGUUUGAUUACCCUCGGUGACUCUUCUUCUUUCUUCACUCGUAUCAUUCAUUUCGAGGGGUUCGUUUAAUUUAUGAAAUUUUUUGAAAGCGUAUAAGAAAUAAUACAGAUAUGAAUGUCGUCCGAAGUGAUAUUUUGAAUAUGUCUCGCCGUAUAAUUUCUUACAGCAUUGACGUUGAAAAAAUUAGAAAAUUAUAUUCGUUAUACUGUUGAUAAACAUAUUUUAUUCGAGACAAGAGAAAUUAAGAUUAUUUACAUAAUUUGUAGGAAGAGAAUGCUCAUCGAAGUAUUAUCGGAAGAGUUUAAGGAUGUAUUGUGUCAGUGUUGCGAUAUUUGCCCGAUAAUGUCAAAAUAUUAUGUCUUACCUCGAGUUGGGUGUGCUUCAUUUUCAGUGCCGGACAGCGACGAAACUAAGUUGGUCCUGAUUAGGGACGAUCGACGAGGGCUGGACGUCUUUACGUCAUACAGUGUCCCGAGGGAACUGCCCACCGAGCUGGAACACGUGAUCUUCGGAGUCCCUGGUGAUCGCGUGUCGGCCGAAGUGGAGUCUGUGAUUUCGCACGUGGCGCGUUCCAUCCGACGUUCAGAAAGCAACCGGAGAAUUAGGCUGACAGUUUCGCCGGCAAUCCUUAACUCAAACAUUGGAGAGCAUUUCAUCACACAGAUGAAGCGACUGUUGAGGGCGAUGAAAACGUGCAAGGAGCCAUGCAUACUGCAUAUCAGCGUCGAAGGAUAUGUGCGAGACGUCCUGCCGAUGGAGACCGUAUGGGCGAACGAAAGCAUGGAGCAGGCCAUGGCGGAGCUCUCAUUCGAGAAUGCGGAAGAGGUUCCAGUGACGCAGGAAGAAGAGGAAGAUGUGGCAGUCUCGGAGACACUCGAGGUGAAGGAGGGUCCUGUGAGGCAGGAAGCAGACGAAGAUGAGGCAGUCUCAGAGACACUCGAGGUGAAGGAGGGUCCAGUGAGGCAGGAAGCAGAGGAAGAUGUGGCAGUCUCGGAAACACUCGAGGUGAAGGAGGGUCCUGUGAGGCAGGAAGCAGACGAAGAUGAGGCAGUCUCAGAGACACUCGAGGUGAAGGAGGGUCCAGUGAGGCAGGAAGCAGAGGAAGACGAGGCAGUCUCAGAGACACUCGAGGUGAAGGAGGACUCGUCGGAGCCUCAGGCGGCCGUGGUGGACCUGGCGCGCGUGUCGGAGGAGGAAGCGAAAUUCGCCAACGAAUACCCCCGCCUUUACAGGCAGAUCAUGAAGCUCACGAGCGAGGGAUACGUGAAUUCCGUCCGACGUACCGGGGACCGAACAGUAUACUUCAAUACACGGGGCGUCAAGCAGUGCCGGAACGGAGGACCGCACUUCUGGGACUCGGCGACCUUCGUGGUCAACGUCAACACGGGGCAGAUCAGGCAAACGUGCCACGCCGCUGAGUGCCGCCUUUCCGACGGCCGGAGCCGGUGGAUCUCCGACGGUCCUCUGAAAUGUACGGACAUGAACACAAUAAUGCAUUAUUCGACGAGAUUGAAGAGAUUGGAAACAUGGAUGACAUGUACGAGGACAAAAUGAAAAUAUGGAGGAACAUGUACAAGAGGACAAGGAAAUGUGGAAAAUGUUCAAGGACAUCAUGAUCAGCAGAGACAAGAUCUUCAACAAUUACAGAUGAAAAAACAAAAGCUCCUCCAAUCUUUGAGCUUGCAAUUGGCAUGAAAAUGACCUCUAUUGAAAACGAUAAGAAAUUUGAUAGAUUUAAUGACAAUAUUUUGCGGGCGAUUUUAAAUUUUAAAUAAAGGAAAAAUACGUGAUGACGAUAACGAUAGUGAUAGCCGAGAAAUCUUAGUCGCAGCUCCUUUAAACCAAUUUCCUUCUUUUCAUGUAAGUUUAAACCUAAUUACUUUCAAAGCACUGCCUAACCCAACACAAAAUGAGAAUUGUCACAUACACACUGGAAAAAAAAAAAAACACAUUGGAUCUAGAGUCCGGACUCUUGAAAACAUUGCCAAGAAAAAGGACUCUUACUUCGAUCAGAUUUAAGCUUAAAUCAAAAGGAAAUCCGCUCAAAUUAAGAGGCUUGGUUCUUGAUUUAAGCUUAAAUCUGAUUGAAUCAAGAGUAUUUUUUCUUGUCGAUGUUUUUAAGAGUCUGGACUCUAGAUCCGACGUGUUUUUUCUUCAAAGCACGCAAGACAAACAAUGAUAUUAUGAAUAUUUCCUCACUGUUCUCACACGAAACACGGUAUUAAAACCCGCUUACACAGGUAUAGUAUAAUUCAAUUACCUUUCCAAUUUGAAGUUAAAGGUAAUAGACGGACAGAUCACGCCUCCAGCUUUCGAAAUGUCAACAAUGGUGACAGUUUAAUUAGACGCGGGGUUUUGAGGAGAGGCUGAGAAAUGGGAAGGAAGGAAACGUGGCGCUGCCCGCCAUGAACGGCUGGAGGAGAGGAGGUGUAAGGCCCGACGGAGAAAAGACAUUUAUUAUCGUUUACGGUCUUUAAUUAAUGUCGAGGUCACUCCAUGCAUUUUUAUCGCGCUAAAUCGCAACUACCAGCGUUGCCGACCAAAAGUACACAUUGAAAAAUGCCGUGAUUCAAUAAAAUCACUAAACCUGCCGUACUCUGGAAAAAAAAGUCGCUUAAAUCUACAGUCUAGACUCUUGAAAACAUUUUCAUAAGAAAAAAUACUCUAGAUUCAAUCGGACUUUUUGCUUGAAUCAAAGGGAAAUCCGCCUAAAUCAAGAGGCCCGGCUCUUCUAUUAAAUCGGGUUGAAUCAGGAGUAUAUCAUUUCUUGUCAAUGUUGUUAAGGGUCUGGACUCUAGAUCCCAUGCAGCGACUUUUUUUUCCAGGGAUACUACGGAAAAACACUAUGUCAACCUCCAGAUGCUACCGAAUUUCCCCUGAAAGAAAAAAUCAAUUUUAAAAAUGCCGAUGAUGAUUGGUUUGUUGUGAGCUGUGUUUUUGUGAGGUUAUGUGUUUCUUUUGAAGUUCAUUUCAUUAUCAGUUCACUAAUCAGAGUCAACUGUGAAAGAUUGGUGUCGUGCUGUGUGUUUCGACAAUCACUUGGAUCUUUCUUCGAUCACUUCCUUCAUUGAGACAAUGGUACGUUAUUUAUUUACUACGUGCCUGUACACUGUUAGAAUUCAUAGCUUUCCAAGUUGUCUGUGUUGUACCUUUGUGUUCAAAAUUUUGGUGUUCAGUUUCAUCAAAUCAUUGUGUUUGUAAAGCCAAUGUUGUGAUUCACAAACACAGAGAACAAGAGUUUCGGU